GAAUUAUUCUGCUUUUUAAAGGUCGGCGUAGAUACGUAUUGUACCAACGGAGAGAUACGUAGGGAGGACCGAGGGUCCCAGUUGUGGCUUUGAGAACAAAAUAUUUCGCGGGCUGGUGGGCGCGGCUGGUGCGGAGCCUAGUCGGCACCGCCUCCUUCCCUAGCAGAGCAAGCGCUGCAGUCCGAAGCUGCAGUCGCUCGGGGGACCUGGAGGCUUCGGUCUGCUGGGGAAGGAAGUCUGUUUCCUCCCUUGCGCCCCGCUUCUUGACUCAGCGCUGACAUCCUCAGGGUUGUUUCCGACCCUGGCUGGGCCCCCUGUUUUGAGUUGGGGUCCCUGCAGAUCGCUGUGUUUUCGCUGCAAGCGGACUCCCAGAGGAAAUCUCUCGCAGUAGCGACUUUGCGUUUCUCAAUGCAGCAAGGGUCUCCGCCAGGUAUCUUCCUCCAGGCUCUUUAGUCUCCUCGCGGAAAUUUCGUCGUCACAGAGGGGAUGGAAAGGUUCCUGGUCUUCACCACCCCUCUACUUCCGCUCAGUGAUUCCGAGACAGUCGACUCCCAAGGAGUGCGGUCAAAAUUCGCUAGCGCGGGCGCCUCAGGAGGAUGCGCUCAAGUCACCGCUACUGGAGUCCUGGGCAGUUCACCACUGGAAGCCUGCACCUUGGAGGUCUGUGCUCAGUUUUCCUAGAAGUCGGAAAAAUGUCCAAGGCUGGUUUCACGUCUGGGGCAUUUUCUCUUUCAGGCAGAAGUUUCUUUGGGAUUAGGGCUCACGGAUCCUAGGACUGGAAAAAAAUUGUUGGGGCAACAAAAAUUUUAAAUUCAUCCUAAAAUCAUUGAGGACCUGAAAAGUGCAUUUGAAGUUAUCUGUGUAGACACGGUCAGAGUGUGUGCGGCGGUAUAACCGGGAAGCGGUGAGGGUACAGGAGUGGGCUUUAUUGUUAAUUCGCCAUCGCUUACAGAGGACACCCCC
rnacentral:lncRNA from 1 species